CCAAGCAAAGAUCAAUAUUGGUUUUUCCGAGCCCUAUGCUAAGGAUAACUUUUCCAAGCCCUACAACUAAGGGUGUUACACUCUCAAAAGAGAGAAAAUAUGUCUUUCAAUUCUUCAUCAUUCCAAAUCUAGUGAAAAUAAGACUAAGGGGGCCUAUUUAUAAUAUGUUACAAAUGAAGAUAAAAAGACCACUUUGCCCUUAAUGAGAGGGGCGGCCAUGGUGUGUAAAUACACCAUGUGUAAUGUCCAAAAUGCCCUUAAUUAAGGUCCAAAACCGUGAGUCCUCAACCUUAAAUGCUCCAAGCAAUCUUUCACACGCGAGAUUGCUUUAAGUUAUGCUCAAAACGGGUCCUCCAUGCAUGUUCUUGUAUUCUCGAGGUGACCAAGUCUUGAGCCUCUAUGUGUUGGCCUCCAAAAAUGUCAUCAAAAGAUAAGAUGGCCAUUUGUCCCGUAUCA
rnacentral:lncRNA from 1 species